CGGAAAUACCACACCUAAAAACUUCCACGUGAACCGUUUCAACCCAAUAGUUGGGGGUCUUAUUUGGCGGCGGCUGCUGGCUUAAUUGUUGGCGGCUGCUGCUGAGUGAGCCCUAUCAAAAAAAAAGGGGAACGUUUGGGCUUCGGCCUGAUUUAAUAGUCUUUUUUUCUUUUAAACCCAUUCCUUAAUACUGAAUAUACUGUGGGGACGAAAGUCUCUGCUUUUAACUAGAUAGCAACUUUCAGCAGUGGAUGUCUAGGCUCGCACAUCGAUGAAAAACGCUGCGAACUGCGAUACGUAAUGCGAAUUGCAGGAUUCAGUGAGUCAUCAAAAUUUUGAACGCAUAUUGCACUUCCGGGUUAGUCCUGGAAGUAUGCCUGUAUCAGUGUCCGUACAUUAAACUUGACUUUCUUCCUUCCGUGUAGUCGGUGGAAGAGAUGUCAAAUGUGAAGUGUCUUGCGAUUGGUCUUCAGACCGGCUGCGAGUCCUUUUAAAUGUACUAAACUGAACUUCUCUUUGCUCAAAAAGUGGUGGCGUUGCUGGUUGUAAAGGCUGCUAUUGUGGCAUAUUGGCCACUGGUUUGUCUGCUGCGGCAUUAAUGGAAGAGUGUUCGAUUCCGGGAUAGGGUUGGCUUCGGCUGAACAAUGCACUUAUUGAGACGUUUUUCCUGCUGUGGCGUGAUGGACUGGUGAACCAUAACUCGGGGGCUGUGGCUUUGAAUUGGCUUUGCUGUUGCGAAAGUAGGGUGGCAGCCUUCGGUUGUCGAGGGUCGAUCCAUUUGAGAACUUAAUGUGUACUUCGGUAUGCAUCUCAAUUGGACCUGAUCAUCAGGCAGAUACCCGCUGACUACUAC
rnacentral:rRNA from 1 species